GAUGAAGAACGCAGCGAAAUGCGAUAAGUAAUGUGAAUUGCAGAAUUCAGUGAAUCAUCGAAUCUUUGAACGCACAUUGCGCCCCCUGGUAUUCCGGGGGGCAUGCCUGUUCGAGCGUCAUUUCACCACUCAAGCCUCGCUUGGUAUUGGGCAACGCGGUCCGCCGCGUGCCUCAAAUCGUCCGGCUGGGUCUUCUGUCCCCUAAGCGUUGUGGAAACUAUUCGCUAAAGGGUGUUCGGGAGGCUACGCCGUAAAACGACCCCAUUUCUAAGGUUGACCUCGGAUCAGGUAGGGAUACCCGCUGAACUUAAGCAUAUCAAUAAGCGGAGGA
rnacentral:misc_RNA from 1 species